GUUAACCCUGUAAACACAAGCAAGAGAAUAAAUGGGGUAUGAGUCUUUGUUUCUGAACCCUUGUAUCAGAAGAGACCACUAUCUUUCUGAUGUACAUUUCAGAGAAAGAGGAACAUUUCCUUCUAGAAGCAGAAAGAUAAAAAUGCUAUGCCAAGAUUUGUGUCAAGACAUCUCCCUCUGCCACUUGUAGACUACAACAGUCUCUUCUCUCUGGUUCUCAGACAUCCUGCAGGGGAACUGCUGGGCAGGCAUGCCUUCAGAAUGAUUAAUCCACUCCCCUUCAGAGAGGUCUGUUUUGCUGGGCUCCUAGACACUGCCAAGAAAGGACACACUGUGACCACCAGCACCAGGAAGCGAAGGCACAGCCUCUAAACUCAAGGCACCAUACUGGAUUGAGAGCUACAAAGAGUUUUCAAGGAAUCUGAUGAUCAAGAAUAAUCUAAGAUACAGCGAAUUUGGGCCAAAGAGAAGAAGCAAUGUGACUUCCAAGAUGUCAUGUUAGUUAAGUAGAUCCAGGACACAAGCCUGCCACUUUACAAUCUUCAUGCUGCUCUCUACUGCUAAAAUAUGGAAAGCUAGAAUAAUUGAUUUCAGAGAUUACAGACAGACCAUUCAUACUACAAAUUCUACCUCCUUCACUCUAAGGUCCCAUCUGAAAGUAUCAUCCCUUUUGUGGGCUCCUAGGAUACACUUGUGUGACGAAGCAUUCAAUAAAGACCACUAUGGAUGUUA